AUAUGCAUAUCUAUAUGAAAUCGCAGCUUUGUGCUGACACUUAACGCUCAUUUUUUUUUUCAAACUAAAUCACGUGAUUAAAAUUAAACAGAAUAGUGAAAUCUGAAUGUCAUUUUUGAUCACGUGAUCUAGUUUGACGCUAAAAAUGAGCGUCGAACGUCAGCAUGAAAAGUCAGCCUAAGGGCCAUGGCACAUAAAAAAACUUGAGCAAAAGUAUUUUCUAGAACAUACACUAUGGACACUACUUACAUAUAUAGAAUUACAUGGAACAUCCAAUGUAUAUGAGAGACUUAACUACAUAAACAAGUACCCCGACAGCCAAACAUGAAAAGACAGAUUAUGCGCAAAGUCAGUUAUAAAUUUCUGAUGCUAGAAAACUAAUAGAUUGCUAACAAAUUCUGUAAUAUCCGACAAUGUUAGCAAACUGCUGCCAGAAACUUGGCAGAAUUUGUUGACAUUCUGUGCCAGCAGAUUGGUAGUAGAAAGCGAACAAGACCUGCGCGACACAAUUUGAUGGCAGGAUCUGUCCAAUUUCUGCUGCCAGUCUGCUGACACAGAAUGUCAACAGGUUCUAUUAAUAGAAUGUAAACAGAAUGAGAUCUCAGAUGAAGUCAGUCUGCUAACAUUUUCUGAUUAAAUCUGUUGCCACUUUGCUGACAUUCUGCUAAUAUUUUGCUGACUGGAUACAUGUAAAUAUUGGUGC